CGGGCUUUGAGGGACUGGGAGGACUCCUGGCUAAAGCCGGCGCGGGAAACUGGGGCUGCGGGGCGGGAGGGUCCUGCUCCUGGGGAAGGAAUCUAACAUAUCCGUCCUGAGGAAGGGUGCCAGUCCUUGACUCCUUGGCUCUUCCGCUCUCUGCCGUAACUUUGGGGUGUGGCAGGGGUUAGUGACGGGCGGUUACCCGGGAUCUAGACGUGCAGGAGAUUCAUGGCCACGAUGGGGCUAUAGUGUUUCUCGCGGCUGCUGGGGUAAUAAAACACAUGCCUUUAAUCCGGAUUAUCCGCGGUGACAUGGGGCCUCCGCUACUGCCCGUAUAAGUUAAAGGCCUGUUCUCUCAAACUUCCUCCUCUUUCACCUUCUUCUGCAGUCUGUUUGCCAGCCAACCCCAGCCCGGGAGGGGAUCAGGGCCACCAGGUUGCUGGAAGGAUUAAAGGACUGGAGGGCAUCAUAAACAUGAAGAAAAAUGUGGGAGAAUAUGAUAAUUGAAAGAAGAAGAGUUUGUGGUCAAAGGGAGAGAUUAAAGAUGUGCAACUUCAGAUUUCCUGGACCUGCCUACCAUCCUGAUCACAGACGUAGAAGGACCAGGGUCAUUUGGAAAUCUAAUUUAUCUUCUCAGGGUGAAUGAUUCACCCUUCUCUUCCACCUCUGGUGGCCAUGUCAUCUGUGGAUGUGAUGAAGAGCUUUUUCUUCCCUAGGCUGUGCAGGAAGCAUGAUACUGGCAUCUGCUCAGCUUCUGGGGAGGCCUUAAGAAACUUACAAUCAUGGCAGAAGUUGAAGGGGGAGCUGGCAACUCACAUGGCUGGAGCACGAAGAAGAGAGAGAUGGGGAAGGUGCCACACACUUUAAAACAACCAGAUGUCAGAAGAACUCCAACACCAAGGGAGGAUAGUGUUAAACCAUGAGAAACUGCCCCCCCAUGAUCCAAUGACCUCCCACCAAGCCCCACCUCCAGCACUGGAGAUGACAUUUCAAUGUGAAAUUUGGGUGCAUUUCUUUUGAGAAGCUAUCCCAAGCCAGCAGGAUGGGCUGGCUACUGAACAGCAAGACUCAGGUAAAAUGUCCUCUAUUCAGAGGAUUUCCUCGACUACCCAAUUAAUCUAGAAAAAUACUUGUCAGUCAUUUCAUGUUUGCUUUGAUUUAUA